GGUUAUGGCUCAGUGGUAGAGUCCUUGUCUAGCAUGCAUGAGGCACUGGGUUUGAUUCCCAGAACCA
rnacentral:tRNA from 1 species